UACAGAGGGUGCGAGCGUUGUCCGGAAUCACUGGGCGUAAAGGGCGCGUAGGUGGUGGCUUAAGCGUGCGGUGAAAGCUCGGGGCUCAACCCCGAGUCGGCCGUGCGAACUGCUGGGCUCGAGCACUGUAGAGGCAGGCGGAAUUCCGGGUGUAGCGGUGGAAUGCGUAGAGAUCCGGAAGAACACCGGUGGCGAAGGCGGCCUGCUGGGCAGUGGCUGACACUGAGGCGCGACAGCGUGGGGAGCAAACAGG
rnacentral:rRNA from 1 species